UGGGGAAUAUUGCACAAUGGGCGAAAGCCUGAUGCAGCGACGCCGCGUGAGGGAUGACGGCCUUCGGGUUGUAAACCUCUUUCAGUAGGGACGAAGCGCAAGUGACGGUACCUGCAGAAGAAGCACCGGCUAACUACGUGCCAGCAGCCGCGGUGAUACGUAGGGUGCGAGCGUUGUCCGGAAUUACUGGGCGUAAAGAGCUCGUAGGCGGUUUGUCACGUCGUCUGUGAAAUCCUAGGGCUUAACCCUGGACGUGCAGGCGAUACGGGCUGACUUGAGUACUACAGGGGAGACUGGAAUUUCUGGUGUAGCGGUGGAAUGCACAGAUAUCAGGAAGAACACCGAUGGCGAAGGCAGGUCUCUGGGUAGUAACUGACGCUGAGGAGCGAAAGCAUGGGUAGCGAACAGG
rnacentral:rRNA from 1 species